rnacentral:lncRNA from 1 species
CUCUAGUGGCCUAUUGGCCUCUAAGUGCCUUAUUUGGAACCUCUGUACAAGAACAGUUGUCAUGAAAGAAGACUGGGGAGGAGUGAAAUACGACUUGGUAAUGGCUGGAGAAUGAGUUGGGUACUGAAUCAGACCUCAGAGAAACCUAGGAGGCACAAUAGCAAGUUGAAGCACUAUCACUUGAUGGAUACUAGGAAAACCAAGUUGUAACUGUGUGAAUUAAAUAUCUGGGGGACCUCCAACCUACUCCA